AAAUGUUAUCUUAAAUAAUAGCAAUAAUAACUUAUAUACCUUUCAAAACUUCAAAAAUAUCUCAUUUAUUUAUAUAUAUAUAUAUUUUUUUCUAAUAUAUCUCUCAUAUGUUCCUCUGUUAUUCUAAAAUACCCUUGCGGUUACCACCUGUCAAGUUACUUUUAGUUAAACGUGAGUUAAAUAUCUACCACAAUUAAAAAAAAGUAAAAUAUCACUUUUGUCCUUAACUUAAGAAUAAAUAAGAAAUGUUGAUGAUGUUAGAAGAGUAUAUUUGAAAAGGUCAAAAAAUAAAAUACUUUUUGUACCCCUAAUUUAAGAAUAAAUAAGAAAAAUCAGUGAUAGCAAAAGAGUAUAUUUGAAAGAAUAAAAUAAUAAUUUUAUAGAGAUAACAGCGUUUAUUAACAAAUUUUAACUCUAGAGGUAUAUUUAAAAUAGGUUGAAAUGUAAAAAAGGUAUUUUCAAUACUAACCUUCUAAAAAAAAUAAAUUAAAAAGUCAGGAAAAUUUUUAGCGGUAUAUAAGUAAUUG
rnacentral:lncRNA from 1 species